CAAGUCGAACGAUUAAGACUUCCUUCGGGAAGUGCAUAAAGUGGCGCACGGGUGAGUAACACGUAAGUAAUCUACCUUCGAGUGGGGAAUAACGUUCGGAAACGAACGCUAAUACCGCAUAAUGCAGCGGCAUCGAAAGAUGACAGUUGUUAAAGGAGCAAUUCGCUUGAAGAGGAGCUUGCGGCAGAUUAGCUAGUUGGUAAGGUAAUGGCUUACCAAGGCUACGAUCUGUAUCCGGUCUAAGAGGACGGUCGGACACACUGACACUGAAUAACGGGUCAGACUCCUACGGGAGGCAGCAGUCGGGAAUUUUGGGCAAUGGGCGAAAGCCUGACCCAGCAACGCCGCGUGAAGGAUGAAGUAUUUCGGUAUGUAAACUUCGAAAGAAUGGGAAGAAUAAAUUGACGGUACCAUUUAUAAGGUCCGGCUAACUACGUGCCAGCAGCCGCGGUAAUACGUAGGGACCAAGCGUUGUUCGGAUUUACUGGGCGUAAAGGGCGCGUAGGCGGCAAAUUAAGUCAUCUGUGAAAUCUCCGAGCUUAACUCGGAACGGUCAGGUGAUACUGAUCUGCUAGAGUGCGGAAGGGGCAAUCGGAAUUCUUGGUGUAGCGGUGAAAUGCGUAGAUAUCAAGAGGAACACCUGAGGUGAAGACGGGUUGCUGGGCCGACACUGACGCUGACAGCGCGAAAGCCAGGGGAGCAAACGGGAUUAGAUACCCCGGUAGUCCUGGCCUUAAACGAUGAAUACUUGGUGUCUGGAGUCUCUAUAGCUCCGGGUGCCGUCGCUAACGUUUUUAGUAUUCCGCCUGGGGAGUACCCCCCCAGUGUGAAACUCAAGGAAUUGACGGGGACCCGCACA
rnacentral:rRNA from 1 species